rnacentral:misc_RNA from 1 species
AAAAUAUAAUUUAUAAGAGGAUAUCCCCUUCCAGAAUUCAGAAUUAUUGCAAUUAUCAUUAUCUUACAUAAAACCCUUCAGCUUCUCAUCUUUGGAAAAAUUGUGUUGGUGGGGCAUACAAAUCGUAAGGGGAAAGACAACGAUCUCUAGAUGAAAUAAAACCUAAUCCCUCUUUAACACAUUUGCAGGGGCCAUAAUCUAAAGCAUGAAAUAUUAUUCUCCCUGUGGUCAAUUAUAACGUAUUAAGCAGAAAUCAUCUGCCUUUUAACAAAUGAUACGUAAAUUUAAUUAUGAAAGAAUGGCUGGGGUAGAAUUCAGAAAGCAGUAAUACUUGAGCCACCAAAAUACAUUUAAAGCCCUGGAAUGGAUUCAAGAUUGUAUUUCUGAGAC